GGCGUGGUGGCUGAGUGGUUAUAGCGAUAGACUCGAAUUCUUAGUUCGAGAUCAUCUAUUUCCUUCGGGAGCGCAGGUUCGAAUCCUGCCCACGUCG